rnacentral:rRNA from 1 species
CGCGUAGGCGGUUUGUACAGUCAGAAGUGAAAUUCCUGGGCUCAACCUGGGGACUGCUUUUGAUACGUGCAGACUUGAGUGAGGAAGAGGGUUGUGGAAUUUCCAGUGUAGAGGUGAAAUUCGUAGAUAUUGGAAAGAACACCGGUGGCGAAGGCGGCAACCUGGUCCUUUACUGACGCUGAGGCGCGAAAGCGUGGGGAGCAAACAGGAUUAGAUACCCUGGUAGUCCUAGCCCUAAACGAUGAUCGCUUGGUGUGACAGGUACCCAAUCCUGUCGUGCCGGAGCUAACGCGUUAAGCGAUCCGCCUGGGGAGUACGGUCGCAAGGCUGAA